AAACCAUGAUGGGGAUAUUGUCUUUGCAAAUCUUUAAACCUUUCCCAAGCUUUAUAUAAAGACUCGUCAUCCCUUUGGUAAGAAGUAACGAUCUCAUUUCUUAAUUU